CGGUGGAUGCCCUGGCAGUCAGAGGCGAUGAAGGGCGUGCUAAUCUGCGAUAAGCGCCGGUAAGGUGAUAUGAACCGUUAUAACCGGCGAUACCCGAAUGGGGAAACCCAGUGUGAUUCGUCACACUAUCAUUAACUGAAUCCAUAGGUUAAUGAGGCGAACCGGGGGAACUGAAACAUCUAAGUACCCCGAGGAAAAGAAAUCAACCGAGAUUCCCCCAGUAGCGGCGAGCGAACGGGGAGGAGCCCAGAGCCUGAAUCAGCAUGUGUGUUAGUGGAAGCGUCUGGAAAGGCGCGCGAUACAGGGUGACAGCCCCGUACACAAAAGCGCAUGUGCUGUGAGCUCGAUGAGUAGGGCGGGACACGUGGUAUCCUGUCUGAAUAUGGGGGGACCAUCCUCCAAGGCUAAAUACUCCUGACUGACCGAUAGUGAACCAGUACCGUGAGGGAAAGGCGAAAAGAACCCCGGCGAGGGGAGUGAAAAAGAACCUGAAACCGUGU
rnacentral:rRNA from 1 species